rnacentral:rRNA from 1 species
UACGGAGGGGGCCAGCGUUGUUCGGAAUUAUUGGGCGUAAAGAGCUCGUAGGCGGUUUGUCGCGUCGACUGUGAAAACCCGAGGCUUAACCUCGUGCCUGCAGUCGAUACGGGCAGACUAGAGUUCGGUAGGGGAGACUGGAAUUCCUGGUGUAGCGGUGAAAUGCGUAGAGAUCGGAAGGAACACCCAAGGCGAAAGCACUCUGCUGGGCCGACACUGACACUGAGAGACGAAAGCUAGGGGAGCAAAUGGG